rnacentral:sRNA from 1 species
GUCCACACUUAUCGGUUUGUUUGAUGUUACAGCCAAGGGUCUGUAGCUCAGGUGGUUAGAGCACCGUCUUGAUAAGGCGGGGGUCGUAGGUUCGAGUCCUACCAGACCCACCAAGUUACGGGCGGCGGAGAGCGAUCUUGCCGUGAACUGGGGGAUUAGCUCAGCUGGGAGAGCACCUGCUUUGCAAGCAGGGGGUCGUCGGUUCGAUCCCGUCAUCCUCCACCAACACCUUGUGGUAGCCAAACGCAAGCAUCGAGAGAUCGGUGUUUGCGUUUGGCAUUGCCAAGACGAGUAGUAACUCGGCUGUUCUUUAACAAUAUGGAAUGUAGUAAAGGUGUCGCGGCGCGUUGAUGAGGCGCGCAAUUUAAACGCGACACUGGGUUGUGAUUGUAUCAACCAGUAUUACGAGUGAUCGAAAGACCGCUUGGAAUACGGCACAACGCGAGAACUCAGCCUAUAGCGAGACAUACUCGUUAUAGGGUCAAGCGAAUAAGUGCAUGUGGUGGAUGCCUUGGCGAUCACAGGCGAUGAAGGACGUAGUAGCUUGCGAAAAGCUGCGGGGAGCUGGCAAACGAGCUUUGAUCCGCAGAUGUCCGAAUGGGGAAACCCGGCCCGUAUGGGUCAUCCCUUGCUGAAUACAUAGGCAAGGGAGGCGAACGCAGUGAACUGAAACAUCUAAGUAGCUGCAGGAAAAGAAAUCAACCGAGAUUCCCAGAGUAGUGGCGAGCGAAAUGGGAACAGCCUUGUACUCUUUAGCAGUAUUGUUAGCGGAACGGAAUGGAAAGUCCGGCCAUAGUGGGUGAUAGCCCCGUACGCGAAAACAGUAUUGUGGAACUAGGUGUACGACAAGUAGGGCGGGACACGUGAAAUCCUGUCUGAAGAUGGGGGGACCAUCCUCCAAGGCUAAAUACUCGUGAUCGACCGAUAGUGAACCAGUACCGUGAGGGAAAGGCGAAAAGAACCCCGGGAGGGGAGUGAAAUAGAUCCUGAAACCGCAUGCAUACAAACAGUCGGAGCCUGGAAACGGGUGACGGCGUACCUUUUGUAUAAUGGGUCAGCGACUUACAUUCAGUGGCAAGCUUAACCGAUUAGGGAAGGCGUAGCGAAAGCGAGUCCGAAUAGGGCGUUCAGUCGCUGGGUGUAGACCCGAAACCAAGUGAUCUAUCCAUGGCCAGGUUGAAGGUGCGGUAACACGUACUGGAGGACCGAACCCACUAACGUUGAAAAGUUAGGGGAUGAGCUGUGGAUAGGGGUGAAAGGCUAAACAAACUUGGAAAUAGCUGGUUCUCUCCGAAAACUAUUUAGGUAGUGCCUCGUGUCUCACCUUCGGGGGUAGAGCACUGUCAUGGUUGGGGGGUCUAUUGCUGAUUACCCCGCCAUAGCAAACUCCGAAUACCGAAGAGUGCAAUCACGGGAGACAGACAUCGGGUGCUAACGUCCGGUGUCAAGAGGGAAACAACCCAGACCGCCAGCUAAGGUCCCUAAGAUUGGCUAA